CCAGUUUCCAAUGUUGUGUCGGUCUCUGGUGUACAGCAUAAUGAAGCAAGCCAGACAGAGAAAGGAACAGUGGUAUUUUAAUUCCUGUGCCCAGAACUGCUGCAUGCAAACACCCUGGUGUGGUCGUCUGACUCUAAAAACAAUGUCCAGGACGCGCCCAGACAGGUGACAUGAGAAGCACGUGGGCUCCGUUGCAAGGACGUCACAGCUGUGGACUCAAAUAGCUCUUGGCCGCGUCCUGGGAUGGCUUUGCCUAACAGGUCUUCACUCCCUUGCAGGCGUGGUUUAUGCCCACCUAUUGGCUCUCGCUCUGUUCACAGGACACUCACGUGGAAUCUGCCUCCUCACUGUCUUCAGCCCCCUUACUUACGGCCGUGCCAGCCGCCCUGCUGCACAGCCAGAGGCCCUGAAGCUGCAGCUGUCGGGACCCUGACCCCCGGAGGACUGGCUGCCAGCGUGUACAGUAGCGCGCCGAGGGCUUUGGUGCCCGACUUGCAGGCAGCAGCAGAGGUGUCAUCAGCAAAGCAAAAGUGUUUUCAAGGAAUGAUCAAGAAAACAUCAAUAUAUAACCAUCCAUUAGUUCAUCGCUUAAUGGAUGCAGAAGCUCAAAAAGGCACGGUGCUAAGGGGAUGAAGUGUGUGCUACUGGGACAGAGUCAGAUGGCAUUUUGUUGGAAAGGCUUCCACUAAUAGAACACUCAGUUCUCAAGUACUGAAGGAUACUGGCUUCCUGUCCUAACUCUUUUCUACUGAAGCGUCUUGCGCUUUAAAAGGAAUGAGCAAACCCAGAGCCCAGUUCUCCUGUUUCAACAUUGGCCCGAAGAUCCAAGAAUUACAGGAUGUCAAUUAGUUACACACAGGUUAAAGUGAGGACUGUGGUGGAUGCUGAAAAUUCCUCUGGCUAUGGUUCCUGAUGCUGCAUUGUUCUCUAAACUGUCUAAAACCUCAUCUACAUUAACUAUCCCAACUGUCUUAGGUUGCCUACUCUUGCCAAUAGCUGCUCUCCAGCUGUUAGUACCUGUAGCAACAUGUUAAAAAACAGAAAGUGCUCCUCAAGUCUGCAGCCUUGGCAGGGACAUCCUAACCCACGGCUCAGCGAUUCGCGUGCACAGUGACUCCUAAAUGUGUUCCCCCCAGCUACUUACUUGACGCCCUUCAUACUGCCUCGUGUUGGUUUCGUUCCUUUAAGAAGCAGAUGCCGGAAUGGAAUGAAACAUGCAAGAGACUUCUGGGGGGAAAUGCUUGUGGAGGGUAAAGAGGGAAGGACCAGAAGUAGGCAUGGACAGCCUUCCGGUCACCACGCAGGUCUGACACCUGGGAAGGGGGAGAGAGAACAGGUCGGGUAGGAAGGGCCUCCGGCCGCAACACAGCUCUGAGAAAGUGUCACCCAGCGAAACCUGCCCCCGGGACGAGCGUCCUCUGGAACGGGAAUGGGCUGGCUUAGGAGGCAGCCCCAGGAGCAGCGUGGCCUCUGAGGUGCCAAAGGGGACCUGCGGCAGCUUCUCUUCAUCCGAGCAGCCUCCCUCCACAGCCAGCGUGUCACACCACUGAUUAAUAUGCAGUAAAAAAUCAUUUUCCUUUGCAGAUUGGCCCCACCACCGGUAUUUUCUAUCUCAGUUUAUGGCAACAUCCUUUCUCCGGCUGCCCAGAAACCCGGAGCCACGCUAGUCUUUCCCCUUUCCUUACACCCUUCCUCAUCGCAUCCCACUGAUUUUACCUCCUAAUUUGUUUCUCUGCUCCCCACCCCCUGUUUGCAGCAUCAAGUCUAAUACUUCUUCUGAGGGUUGCUAACUGCCUUCUGACUGGCUGCCCCACCCUGGGCUGGCUCUCUUUCUUUAUCUCCUCUGGU
ensembl:lncRNA